AAGCUAAUUCCAUCAUCACUUACCAUUUCUCAGCCAAAGAUGGCAUUUGUGAGAUCGGGUUUGAGACAGAAGGGAAAGAAGAGGAGAAACUGAAGGUGAAGAAUGCGAAUGUGGUGGGAAUGAUGCAGCGAUGGUAUCUGUCUGGAAGUAGAGGAGUCUCUCCUUCGACCAUUGUCUCCCUCGCCGAUGAGCUGUCCACACUUUUAACCUAGAAUCCCUUAUAAAAAAAUGUUGUGUGUGUGUUGUUUUAUGUCGCUGUUAAAUAAGACAUUGUGUUUGGUUAUCUUUAUAAGAUGAUUAAUGCAUAGUCGGAAAAAAAAGGAUGUUGAUUUUGUUGAAAUUUAUAAACAUCAUCUUGUUCUUGUUA